UGCAGGCAAGAAGAUGGAACUGGAAAAUAUCAUCUGAAUGAGGACUGAAGUCAAGGACUGCUGUGGUUGAAUUAAGGAAAGGCUGGAAGAAGCUGAAGAGGUUGGCGACCCCAAAAGAAGACCAGAAGUCUCAACUCUCCCAGACUCCUGAGAUCUCUCAGACAUUGAGUCCCCAACCAGCAGCAUACAAGAACUGGUGGGAGGACCCUGACGCAUAUACAGCAGAGGACUGCCUGGUCUGGCCUCAGUGAGAGAAUCCUUGCCUAACCCUUUAGAGACUUGAGGACCCAGGAAGUGGGGAGACCUGGUCAGUGUCUUCGAGUAACUGUUGGUUGCCUUUGGUGGCCAGAUGAUGGUGUGAGAUCCCCUAAACUGGAUUUACUGACAUUUGUGAGUUGCCAUGUGGGUUCAGGAGAGUCAACCUGGUUUCUCUGGAAGAGGAGAUAGUCCUUUUUAUUACUGAGCCAUACCUCCGUUCCCUCUUUCAAAUUCUGUUUUUAAUUCUUCUCUCAUGUAUUACAGCCCAAAAAAGAGAUUUUUAUCUCUCCUCUCCUCAGGGUCAGUCUUCCCUACCUGUCUACUCCCCCCAAGACCUUUCCUGUAUUAUUGUCAUGUUUGUCUCUAAUGUAGUAUCUUGUUUGUUGAGUUUUGUUAUUUGGUUACACAGUCAUUGCUAAAAGAUUUGUCGUAAGAUUUAAAUUUGUGUUUUGUUUUUCAAACGAUUGUAAAGGAAAUUUAUUGUGUUUCCAAAAUAUUGUCAAUAUUAAAAUAUGAAAACUCUCUAUGUUUAUUUAGUGGUUCAGUGGUAGCUAUCAACACAGCAGAAUCCAAAAUCAGCUUGGAGGCAAGUCCUUCGGACAUCUCUGAGGGGUCAUCUUGUUGUUUGAAGAACCAUCUUAAUUGUAACUAAGAACAUCCCCUGGGUGGAAAAUCCUGUAUUGCAUAAAAUGAUGAAGGCAGGAGAAAUGACUUCAAUUCAACAUGAAAUUAAUCCCCCAGACCAUCAUUAGAGUGCAAAGGUGACCUGAGCAUCUGAGCCUUCAGGAAGACAUGCUUCAUGGAUCUCAAUUUGGAUUUCUGAACAGAGAAACAGGUAUCAUCAAUUACUGGUACUUGUAAUGCACAACAUUGCCAUGAAGAAAACGGAAUUAGCACAGAGCAUGCAGAGUACCUUCCAACUCCAUGAACAUUACAUGUGAAGCUUCAAGUUUGGUAUCUGCACAAUUUCUCAAUGGUUGAUGACAGAAGUAUCUCUGAUACGGAGUCUCAGUGUACUUUGUAGUGAGGUUGCAAAUUCAAGCACUAAUGCAAUGCUUCCUGUCAGCCUCCUGAGAAGAUCACACUGGAGACCACUACUCUGAUCUAUGAUAUAAACUGCAAGAACUUUCCUGAUGAGGAAUAGGACUCUGUGUUUAUACCCUUAACCAAUGCUGUAACUGUGAUCUAUGGCAAGGGAAGAACAAGAUCUCAGGACUGGUUCAUCACCUUACUAAGAUAUUCAAAAUUACAUAAUACUAGAAGAACUUUUUUUUCUUACAAUCUUAGAAUGUGGAGGGAAUCUUAUUUAACUAGUGUACAGUUGACAGAGGAUACCUAGGGAGUUUAUUCCCAUGCUGAGAUACCAAUUCCUUACUACUGUCCACAGCAUUCUUAGAUACUUCCUUUUCAAAGUGAGUCUAGCAGAGGCAAAAAGUUCGUAGUCGUUCAUACUGUAAUUUAGAAUUAUACAAAAAGUGUUUAUGCAUAGACAGUGGAUAGAAAGGCUCAAUUCUGCAACUCAUGUGUUAUCUUUGACUUUUUAAAAGGAGCUGUUCACUAGAGAGUAGCUGCAAGGAAUGGAAAAUUUGAUGAGCCACACUGAGGAAGACUGAGGAAGCGGAGAGCUGACAUCAAUUCACAUUAUGGUGUAAUCAUUUUUCUAUAAACGGAAAACCAGAAGUCUCAACUAUCCCGGACUCCUGAGAUCUCUUAGACAUUGAGCCCAACCAGCAUCAUAGAAGAAUUGGUGGGAGGACACUGACACAUAUACAACAGAGGACUUCCUGGGCUGGUCUCAGUCAAUGUCUUUGAAUAACUGUCCAUUGCAUUUGGUGGCCAGAUGAUGGUGUGAGAUCCCCUGAAACUGGAAUUAGUGAUAUUUGUGAGUUGCCUUGUGGGUUCAGGAGAGUUAACCUGGUUUCCCUGGAAGAUCAGACAGUCCUUUUUAUUACUGAGCCAUACCUCCAUUCCCUCUUCUUAAUUCUGUUUUUAAUUCUUCUCCCACGUAUUACAUCUCCAAAACAGAGCUUUUCAUCUCUCCUCUCCUCAGGGUCAGUCUUCCCCACCUGUAUCUCCCCCCAAGACCGUUCCUGUAUUAUUGUCAUGUGUCUCUAAUGUAGUAUCUUGUUUGUGGAGUUUUGUUAUUUGGUUACACUGUCAGUGCUAAAAAGAUUUGUUGUAAGAUUUAAAUUUGUGUUUUGUUUUUUAAAUAAUUUUAAAGGAAAUUUAUUGUGUUUGCAAAAUAUUGUCAAUAUUAAAAUAUGAACAUUCUCUAUGUUUAUUUUGUGGUUCAGUGGUAGCUAUCAACAUGGCAGAAUCUGAAAUCAACUUGGAGGCAAGUCCUUCGGACAUCUGUGAGGGGUCAUCUUGUUGUUUGAAGAACUAUCUUAAUUGUAGCUAAGAACAUCCCCUGGGUGGAAAAUCCUGUAUUGUAUAAAAUGAUGAAGGCAGGAGAAAUGGCUUCAAUUCAACAUGAAGUUAAUCCCCCAGACCAUCUUAAGAGUCCAAAGGUGACCUGACUAUCUGAGCCUUCAGGAAGACAUGCUUCAUGGAUCUUAAUUUGGAUUUCUGAACAGAGAAACAGGUAUCAAUUGCACAUAGCUUCUAAUUAGAGGUAGGACUCCAUUUCUGUUUCUCCUGUUUACCUCUGAGUCUUUUGUUCAGUUUGAACUCAGAAAUCUUGUGUAUGCUUGAAUAAUCGCUGUGAGUGGAAAUGUUUCUAGGUCCUGUUGUACAUGGAAGAGUCUUGUUCUUGAGAGUCAUCUAUCAUCUCUUGCUCCUAAAGUCUUUCUAAUUCCCCUCCCCAUAGAUUUGUGAUGCUUCAGGGGAAAGGUUCGAUGAAGAAAUCUUACUCAGGACAAGUGCUCCAAAGUCUCUCACUGUCUACAAUAUCCAGUUGCAGUUCUCCAAGCUAGUUCCCAUCUACUAGAGGAAGAAGCUCCUCUGAUGUGAGUUAAGUAAUGCACUGGUCUAUGGAUAUAACUAUGUAAUUUUGAGUCACUUCAUUGUAAUGUGACAUUUGCAGAAUUAUACUGGUUUUCUACUAGACCCAUUUUUGGGUUCUUGAGCACAUUAACAGUGUCUUGUAUGAG
rnacentral:sRNA from 1 species